UGGGGAAUAUUGCACAAUGGGCGGAAGCCUGAUGCAGCCAUGCCGCGUGUGUGAAGAAGGCCUUCGGGUUGUAAAGCACUUUAGCCAGGAGGGAUGUUUUUUCGUCCGAUAAAGGCGAGGAAAUGACGUAAACUGGAAAAUAAGCACCGGCUAAUUCCGUGCCAGCAGCCGCGGUGAUACGGGGGGUGCGAGCGUUAAUCGGAAUUACUGGGCGUAAAGGGCGUGUAGGCGGUGCGUCACGCAUUUCGUGAAAGAACAGGGCUUAACCUUGUGGAGCGAAGUGAACGGGCGCGCUAGAGUAGCUGAGAGGAAGGUGGAAUUUCAAGUGUAACGUUGAAAUGUUUAGAGAUUUGAAGGAACACCAGUGGCGAAGGCGACCUUCUGGCAGCUUACUGACGCUGAGACGCGAAGGCGCGGGGAGCAAACAGG
rnacentral:rRNA from 1 species